rnacentral:rRNA from 1 species
AACGAACGCUGGCGGCAGGCUUAACACAUGCAAGUCGAGCGCCCCGCAAGGGGAGCGGCAGACGGGUGAGUAACGCGUGGGAACGUACCUUUUGGUUCGGAACAACUCCGGGAAACUGGAGCUAAUACCGGAUAAGCCCUAACGGGGAAAGAUUUAUCGCCGAAAGAUCGGCCCGCGCCUGAUUAGCUAGUUGGUGAGGUAACGGCUCACCAAGGCGACGAUCAGUAGCUGGUCUGAGAGGAUGAUCAGCCACACUGGGACUGGGACACGGCCCAGACUCCUACGGGAGGCAGCAGUGGGGAAUAUUGGACAAUGGGCGCAAGCCUGAUCCAGCCAUGCCGCGUGAGUGAUGAAGGCCUUAGGGUUGUAAAGCUCUUUUGUCCGGGAAGAUAAUGACUGUACCGGAAGAAUAAGCCCCGGCUAACUUCGUG